rnacentral:tRNA from 1 species
UUUAAUUGAAACCAAAUAGAGGUAAUUCAUUGUUAAUGAAUAAAUUGAAUACUAAAUCCAAUUA